rnacentral:rRNA from 1 species
CCUACGGGUGGCAGCAGUGGGGAAUAUUGGACAAUGGGGGGAACCCUGAUCCAGCGACGCCGCGUGAGUGAAGAAGUAUUUCGGUAUGUAAAGCUCUAUUAGCAGGGAAGAAAGAAAUGACGGUACCUGACUAAGAAGCCCCGGCUAACUACGUGCCAGCAGCCGCGGUAAUACGGAGGGGGCAAGUGUUAUACGGAUUUACUGGGGGUAAAGGGAGAGUGGACGGCGAUGUAAGUCUGAAGGGAAAGGCGGGGCCCCAACCCACGGACUGCUGUUGAAACUGUAAGGCUGGAGUGCAGGAGAGGUGAGUGGAAUUCGUGGUGUAGCGGUGAAAUGCGUAGAUAUCACGAAGAACACCGGUGGCGAAGGCAGCUCACUGGACUGUAACUGACGUUGAGGCUCGAAAGCGUGGGGAGCAAACAGGAUUAGAUACCCCGGUAGUC